UGGUGGUGACGGCAGCCAACGGUUGCGGUGGUGAGAGGGAGGAAGAAGGCAAACGGUUGAAAGAGUGAGAGAGAGAGAGAGAGAGAGAGAAAGAGAAAGAGAGAGAGAGAGAGAGAAAGACAGUAUGACAACGGGACGGCCGGUUACCGUGGAGGGAGGAGAGAGGAUACCAAACGCGGAGGGUGGAGCGAGAGCGAGAGGGACGGCUCCCGCGAUCCUUUGGAAGGGAGAAAAGGUGGCAGCACAACUCGAUAAAAGGGGUACGAAUGUUUCCUCUUUCUGUUUCCGUCCCUCCCCCUCCUCUUUCUCUCUCUCUCUCUCUCUCUCUCUCUCUCUUUUGAUUCUAACGAAACGUGACGAUGGCGGAUAGUCCAACGGGAAAUCUUGGAAGUGGGGAUAAAAUCUUUCGUAGUACCCUCCCAGAUGGAAAGAGGAGGACCACCACCACCCUCUCCCCUCUUCUAUCACUCUAUAGCAUAUAGAAUCUCUAUAUAGCAUAAGUUAGACAAGGAUAGAAAGUAAUCGGAACUAUUACAUUUGGAUUUCUCUAUCGUCGGAAUUUGACGUUUUAUAAAGGGCCAGAGACGUUACGAUUCGAUUGUGUAUAGUAACACCUUAUGGAACACGGAGCUAGCUAGCACAUUCUCUCUCCCAUAAAUCAAGAUCGGGUUUGAUGGCUGGGAGACACGGGAAGCCGUAGAAGCAAAAAACGCCGACAGAUUCUUCGUCAGAUCAGUCAGAGUCAUCAAAACCGAUCGACCGACGUUAUCAAUGACAGACGAAGUGCCUGGCCAUGUUCCCUGGCAAAUCAAACAACGAAUCGGCCGAUAUGGGAUAUCAUCAAAGGAUUUCGGCCGGCUCUUUGUCAACCUAUACAGUGAUAAUACUGAAAUCUCGUGCGUACAAACAUAUCGGUUAAAUAUCUUACCGUACGUUAUAUAUAUAUAUAUGUAUAUAUGUAUUUAUGUAUCUAUAUACGAAUGUUGAAAUCUAUAUACGAAUGUUCAAAAAACGUAAGUUAUAGUAUUUGUUACGUACAUAACGUAACAUAAUAAUGAUCGAUAUGUCAGUGAAUCAAUUUUUACUCGAUGUACUUUGCGAAAGAUUUAGAGCGUUCAUUUUUAUCGACUUUUUUCUUUUUCUUUGUUUUCGUCUUUUUUCUUCUCUUUUUGUUUUUUUUUUCUUUUUUUUUCUUUUUUUUUCCAAAAAACUUCUCUUACGUUAUAUAAUUAAAAUGACACGAGAUUAUUCGUUUGAAUAAUAUUUAAAUUCGAAACACGAUAAUUCACUCAGCGCGAUCGUCAUAAUAAUAUAAUCGUUGAAAUUAUUUUAUAAAUGAAUUUUUUUGCUUUUUUCUUCAAUUUUAUUUGUCCAUUGAUUUAAUUUAUUAAUUGAAAAAAGAAAAUUGCCAUCGUCUUUAUCGUGGUCAUAUGAUUUUUAAAUAAAUGUCAGUUUGAGGCUGAGUUUAUCAUAAGCCGCAUUAGGCAUUACUCCGGUUCUCAUUCUCUACGGGGAAACAUUUUAAAAAACUUACUCUUUUGGAAACAACGAUAUGAAAAACAGUCUGGUGCAAUAUAUUCGCUAGAAGAAAAAAAAAAAAAGAAAAAAGAAAAAAACAGAAAAAGAAAAAAGAAAAGAAAGAACGAACUAUAUGAAUUUGAUUAACUAAAAUAAACUUGUUUUUUUUCUUUUUUUUUUUUUUCGAGACUUUGCAACGAUGUUACUUCAAAUUUAUAAAUCCAAUACUGCAUUAGUCCUUUGUAAUAAAUUCAUUUAUAAUUAUAUUCAAUAUUUAUAUGACAAAAUGAAUCUAAUAUCUGAACGUAUG